rnacentral:lncRNA from 1 species
UUUAUUAGAUUUCGUAAAGGUGAAGUGAAGUGUUUGAUGAAUUAUUGUUUUGUUUUUCUUGUUAUUUUGUUUUGGGAAAUCACAUGGGCACACAUGUUUUGCUGAUUUGCCAAUUUUUGCCGCCCUACCGAUUCCUCUCUCUGUCUCAUAAACACUUGUGCUGUGCUGCUGGCUGCUGCAAUGGCAUUUAAUAUUUAUGGGUGAGGAAGUAGAUUUUAGGCUUCAUGAUCCAUCUCUAUUUCGCACUAUUUCCAAUAGUGAAUCAAGUAAUUACUUGACCCUACACAACAGUGGGGUUGGCCCAACUACCUUUUUCACCAGUUUCCGUUUAACAGAGUCUGCAGCAUGGAGCCAAAUGGUGAUUUCAGGUACAUGUUUUAUACAGUUUUCUGAGAAUCAUCAGCUUGAUCAUAACAACUAAGAUCUAAUAGAUUUCACAUGUCUGGAAUCUAAGUGUUGAGCGUUCAUUUAUUGCUUGACCACUUCAUCUUCCCCAUGGGAAGAAUGAAUGCAUGGUAACUAACCUAGCCUAACAAUCUGUACUAGACGAGAAUGAGAACUUGUACAAUUGAUUGUCAGGUACUGACGAAGCAGAACCAAAGAAGGAUCAUCUAACUGAACCAAAGUGAGCAAGUAAGAGUUACGAUUUGGUCUGAUUGAGGAGGUCACGGGAGUAGAUUCGGAGCACAUCAUCAUCCUUAGGUAAAAUGGAAGUGGGGUCUUUGCAUUCAGUAAUGAUAUGCAGAAGGAAGAAGACAUACUGAAAAGGCUGCAUUUUGGGGGAAGAAAGUGAGGAUGAGGAGGAGGAGGGAUAUUUGUACUAUUGGUUUGUUCCUUUUUCCCUUUUAUCUUAUUUGUUGGUUUUUUCAUCUAAACUCACAAGCAAAGCAGAAGCUACAGGAAUAGAGAGGGCCGGCCUGGGUGCUGAAUCCAUUUUUAUCAGCACAUGCUGAUUCAUUCAUCCAACGGUCGGUGAUGGGCCUGGAAGGAUCCAACGGUCGGUGAUGGGCCUGGCAGAUCCAACGGUCGGUGAUGGGCCUGGCAGGAUCCAACGGUCGGUGAUGGGCCUGACAGGAUUUUUUCCAACGGUCGGUGAUGGGCCAACAGGAUCCAACGGUCAAAUGUGUCCGGUUUAUUUUUUUUAAUUUUUUGUCUACACCAUAUCUACCCGGUUUGAUUUGGUUUUAAAUUGAGUUUUGGAUUGGGAAUUAAGUUUUUAUUUUUGAUUUUAAAUUUUGGGUUUGGUUUAGGCAAAAAAAUCAUAUUCAGAUGGGUUUUAAUUUUGGGCGUUGGGUGUUGGGUCAAAUUCAAAAUUUAAAAUUUAAAUUAAAAACCUAAUAUUCUAGACCCUAAAUCUUAAAUCGUAAACCAAACACAAAAUUCAAACUAAAAAAUUAAAAAUUAAAUUAAAAACUUUAAUAUUAUAGACUCUAAAUUUUAAACUCUAAACCGAAUUCAAAAUCAAAAAUCAAAAAUCAAAAAAUCAAACCCAAAAUAGAAACUCAAAACUCAAUUUAAAACCACCCCGAACCUGAAAGAUAUGGUGUAAAAAAAAAAGAGAUUAUGGCCAAAAUGACCCCUAUACUAUACAAAUUAACAAUUGAG